rnacentral:rRNA from 1 species
GAUGAACGCUGGCGGCGUGCUUAACACAUGCAAGUCGAACGGAAAGGCCCAAGCUUGCUUGGGUACUCGAGUGGCGAACGGGUGAGUAACACGUGGGUGAUCUGCCCUGCACUUCGGGAUAAGCCUGGGAAACUGGGUCUAAUACCGGAUGGGACCACAUUUUGGAUGGUGUGGUGGAAAGUUUUUCGGUGUGGGAUGAGCUCGCGGCCUAUCAGCUUGUUGGUGGGGUAAUGGCCUACCAAGGCGUCGACGGGUAGCCGGCCUGAGAGGGUGUACGGCCACAUUGGGACUGAGAUACGGCCCAGACUCCUACGGGAGGCAGCAGUGGGGAAUAUUGCACAAUGGGCGCAAGCCUGAUGCAGCGACGCCGCGUGGGGGAUGACGGCCUUCGGGUUGUAAACUCCUUUCGCUAGGGACGAAGCGUUAUGUGACGGUACCUGGAGAAGAAGCACCGGCUAACUACGUG